UUAGGAAUCUUGGGCAAUGGGGGAAACCCUGACCCAGCAACGCCGCGUGGGUGAAGAAGGCCUUCGGGUCGUAAAGCCCUUUUCCCCGGGACGAUGAUGACGGUACCGGGGGAAUAAGCCCCGGCUAACUACGUGCCAGCAGCCGCGGUAAUACGUAGGGGGCGAGCGUUGUCCGGAUUUAUUGGGCGUAAAACGCUCGUAGGUGGCCACGCCAAGUCGGACGUGAAAUCUCCUGGCUUAACUAGGAGGGGUCGCUCGAUACUGGCGGGCUCGAGGCAGGGAGGGGGAAGCGGAAUUCCCGGUGUAGUGGUGGAAUGCGUAGAUAUCGGGAGGAACACCAGUGGCGAAGGCGGCUUCCUGGCCCUGAUCUGACACUGAGGAGCGAAAGCGUGGGGAGCGAUCCGG
rnacentral:rRNA from 1 species